UGGCGGGAUGGAGCAGUCUGGAAGCUCAUCUGGCCCAUAACCAGAAGGCCGCAGGUUCAAAUCCUGCUCCCGCAA
rnacentral:tRNA from 1 species